rnacentral:rRNA from 1 species
AUUUCUAGAGAUAGAAGUUACUUCGGUACAUCGGUGACAGGUGGUGCAUGGUUGUCGUCAGCUCGUGUCGUGAGAUGUUGGGUUAAGUCCCGCAACGAGCGCAACCCCUAUUGUUAGUUGCCAUCAUUCAGUUGGGCACUCUAGCGAGACUGCCGGUAAUAACCGGAGGAAGUGGGGAUGACGUCAAAUCAUCAUGCCCCUUAUGACCUGGGCUACACACGUGCUACAAUGGUUGGUACAACGAGUUGCGAGUCGGUGACGGCGAGCUAAUCUCUUAAAGCCAAUCUCAGUUCGGAUUGUAGGCUGCAACUCGCCUACAUGAAGUCGGAAUCGCUAGUAAUCGCGGAUCAGCACGCCGCGGUGAAUACGUUCCCGGGCCUU